rnacentral:lncRNA from 1 species
UGCGGGGACGGGGGCUGGGAUUAAAAUAAAAAUAUAGGACAAAACACACAUCACGACAAGAGAGACAACACAACACUACAUAAAGAGAGACCUAAGACAACAACAUAGCAAGGCAGCAAUACAUGACAACACAGCAUUGUAUCAACACAACAUGACAACAACAUGGUAGCAACACGACAUGACAGCGGCACAACAUGGUAGCAGCGCAAAACAUGGUACAAACAUUAUUGGGCAAAGACAACAACAUAAAGGGCAAGAAGGUAGAGACACCAAUACAUCAGGCGAAGCAGCCACAACUGUCAGUAAGAGCGUCCAUGAUUGAGUCUUUGAAUGAAGAGAUGGAGAUAAAACUGUCCAGUUUGAGUGUUUUUUGCAGCUCGUUCCAGUCGCUAGCUGCAGCAAACUGAAAAGAGUAGCGACCCGGGAUGUGUGUGCUUUGGGGACCUUUACCAGAAUGUGACUGGCAGAACGGGUGUUGUAUGUGGAGGAUGAGGGCUGCAGUAGAUAUCUCAGAUAGGGGGGAGUGAGGUCUAAGAGGGUUUUAUAAAUAAGCACCAACCAGUGGGUCUUGCGAUGGGUAUACAGAGAUGACCAGUUUACAGAGGAGUAUAGAGUGCAGUGAUGUGUCCUAUAAGGAGCUUUGGUGGCAAAUCUGAUGGCCGAAUGGUGAGGAUAUCUAGCCGCUCGAGAGCACCCUUACCUGCCGACCUAUAAAUUACGUCUCCUAGCAUGGAUAGGGUGGUCAUCUGAAUCAGGGUUAGUUUGGCAGAUAAGACUUGGAUGUGCACCGGAAUAGCACGCGUUUGUCUUUUUAAAGUAGGUCUUAAAUCCUCGCAAAAAUCCUAUAACAUUGGUUUUGGGAAAUGAUAUCGAAUGAUCCAAUCUGCACUUUCUGCAGAAAAAAUCCCACCUGUCUCUAAAAAUGUGCUCUCUGAGAAAUGCAGCGUGUGCCAAAUCUUCAAACAGAGCCAGAUUACCCAUCUCUCAUACGAUUUACCAUUAUCUGUCUUCUAUAGUAUUUCAACAAUAGUUUCACUUUCACAAGUACCUCUGAUUUAACAAAUGACUGUACUUUAUAUGGAUUAUCGUAACAAAUGCACUGAUAUGUUCCUUGGCCGUCAUUGAAAAUAAGAAUUUGUUCUUAACUG